rnacentral:lncRNA from 1 species
ACACUGCUCAUGUUUUCUGUAAUGGUACACUAGCAAAGGCUCUUUGGAAUUACUAUUGUUCCACACUUUGGAAUUAGAAGAAACGAUAACUCCCUGAUAUCUCCCUUAUCCAACUGGUGGAGCAUAGCAUUACAACUUUUACUAUUAAAAUCAUCCCAAACUAUAUUAUUUGGGAAUUAUGGAAGAGCAGAUGCAGCAGCAGGUAUUGUAGAAAGAAAUUGUUUCUCCCUAAAAUAAUGUAUCUAAUUUGUCAAAAUUUUUUGUUGUUUGUGAAGCAACAAUUUAGAAACUUUAAAAAACUCUCUCCUGGAAUCGGUUGACCUUACAGAUAAGAAAAUUGUGAAUAAAGUUGGUAAACUUGUCUCUUAGACACCGUCCAUCACUUCUGUUUAUAAGCUCAAUACUGAUAGAAGCUUCAAAGAGGAUAAAUGUGGUUGUGGAGGCAUAAUCAACGAUUGGGAAGGCAAAUUCAUCAUGGCAUUCUCUAUACAAUUUAUGGGGAAUUUCAGCAUCGUGGCAGAGAAAAGACACUAUUAUAUGGCGUUCAUUGGUUCAAAUUUAAUAGAGUUUCUCGACCUCAACUGGAAACUAACUUUCUAAUGCUAGUUUCUUGCAUUAAAGAUGUGUAUAAAAUUGUGUGGCA